rnacentral:lncRNA from 1 species
CCACAAGAAGGACAUUGAGGCCCUGGAGCGUGUCCAGAGAAGGGCUACAAAGCUGGUGAAGGGCCUGGAACACAAGUCCUGUGAGGGGCGGCUGGGGGAACUGGGGGUGUUUGGUCUGGAGAAGAGAAGGCUCAGGGGAGGCCUUAUUGCUAUCUACAACUCCCUGAAAGGAAGGUGUGGGGAGCUGGGGGUCGGCCUCUUCUCACAGGUAACCAGUGACAGGACCAGAGAGAAUGGCCUCAAGUUGCGCCAGGGGAGGUUCAUGCUGGAAAUGAGGAGACAUUUCUUCUCAAAAAGAGCAGUCAGGCAUUGGGACGGGUUGCCCAGGGAGGUGGUGGAGUCACCGUCCCUGGGGGUGUUCAAGGGAAGGUAGGAUGUGGUGUUUGUGGACAUGGUUUAGUGGGUGACAUUGGUGUUAGGGGGACGGUUGGACCAGAUGAUCUUGGUGGUCUUUUCCAACCUCACUACCUCUAUGAUUCUGUGAUAAUCAGGGUGUUUUCGGGGCCACGUGGGUGCUUCUGCUCCCCCACGGUUGCAGAGGGAAACGAGGAGCGGUGCGGUCACACUCAGGACGUUCCCCCCGCCCUCUGCCCCUUGCAGGGUGAAGGAGCGGCACCACCGGGGCCGGCCCAACAGCAGCUCAGAGUCGUCGGCCAAGCACUCUCGGCACGGGGCCUCGGAGCGCAGGAAGAGCCCCUCGCACAGCACCGGGCACCGCAGCAGCUCCUGGAGCUCCAGCGGCUCCCUCUCCAAGUCCCGCUCCCGCUCGCGGGAGAAGAGGGCCGGGCGCAGCCGCAGCCGCUCGCCCUCGCAGAAGAAAACCGCCAGCAGAGAGAAGGACAACGAGCCCCGAACACGCCACGGUGACCCCGAUCCCGCCCGGGCCCGGCGCCGCUCCCGAAGCUACUCCCCCAUCAGGAAGAGGAGACGCGAUUCCCCCAGCUUCAUGGAGCCCAGGAGGAUCACCAGUGCUCGCAAGCGUCCCAUCCCCUACUACCGCCCCAGCCCCUCGUCCUCCAGCUCGCUGAGCACCUACUCGUACAGCCGCAGCCGGAGCCGCAGCUACGACAGCUACAGCACCAGCCGCAGCCGCAGCCGGACUCGCAGCCCCCCCAGCCGCUCGCGAAGCCCCAGCCGCAGCCCCAGCUACAACAGCCGCAGCAGCUCGGAGAGCGCCGGCUUCUGAGCCCCGCAGCCCCCCGCCCCAGCCCCGGGAGAACCCCCUCAGGAGGUGGAAAAAAACCUGGGGGGGGCUGCUAAGGAUGGACCCGGCAGCGGGGGGAAAGUCGGGGGGCGGAUGGAAACCUUGCGGGGCAGUGGGCGACCCUGAGCCCCCAGCAGUAUUUUGGGGGUC